GAGGUAAAUUAUACCUGGGUGUAGAGGAUAACUUCAACUGCCUAAACCAGCAUUUCUUCUCACAUCUUCUUCAGAAAACCAUGAGGUGUACGAAGAUGACAUGAUUCAUGGCUUCAGCAAUACUAGGAGAAAGAGCAUACCACAAACAUUAAAUUGCCAGAAAACUGAUAAGUGCAGAUUUCCAAUAGAGUAUGAUACACUUCUAUAAGACUGAAUGUGGACAGUGAGGAAGCAAUACUUAGAGAAACUUUGAAAAAGAGAAAAAGGGAGUAGAUGACAUAGACUAAACAGAGGCAAAAUUUAGCCCUGAAAGAGUGCUGGCAGCAAAAGAGGAUGCCAAAUAUUACGUGCCAAACACUGGACAAUCCUAGGUCUUGGUAGGUUACAGCAUUGGCUUUAAAGGAAGAGGACUUGAAAGUAAGGCCAGAGGUAAAGCUGUAGAUAAGAAUUGCUUUUGAGAAUGAAUCAACUACAUUGGCAAAGAAGUGUGCCCCGCUUAAAGACAUGGCAGUGAAGGGAAAGAAGAUAGUAAGGGGGAAAUUUUAAGAUCCUGAAGAACCUAGUGUGGUGUCACAUGCCUGUAAUCCCAGAGACUCUGGAGGCCAAGGCAGGAGGAUCUCAAGUUUAAAGCCAACCUCAGCAAAUUAGAGAAGCCCUAUCUCAAAACUUAAAAGGGGGUGGGGGAUUGUGCUGGGGUUGUGGCUCGGUGGAUAAAUGCCCCUGAGUUCAAUCCCUGGUACCAAAAAAAGAAAAGAAAAAACCUGAAGGAAAAACAAAAGAAAAAUCAUGCCAGCCACCCCACGUCACCUGAUGUUGAGAGCCACAGCCGAAGGGGCCCCAGCAAACUUUCAGACUGCCAGCUGAUGAUUGGCUCACAGCGGCCCCAGCAACAUCUAGCUGAUUGGCUCCUCUGUGGUGAUGCUCAUUGGGCUGUUUCCCUGCCCUUUCAGACUAUGGAGCUGCUCAUUGGGGGACUUUUUUGGCUCCGCCCACACGACCCAGCCAAUCGGCCUCAAGAGCAAGAGGAGUGGGGGAGGUGGAGAGGCUUGUGGGAAGCCGAUGGUGGCAGUUGGGCUCUGAGGGUUUUUCCUGAGGAGCUGUUUUAUUUGGCCUGUGUGGUUC
rnacentral:lncRNA from 1 species